CGGAGGGCAGCGUUGCCGGAUUAUUGGGCGUAAAGAGCGUGUAGGCGGUUUGGGUAGGUCCGCCUGUGAAAACUCGGAGCUCAACCUCGAGACGCCGGUGGAAACCAUCAGACUAGAGUCCGGAAGAGGAGAGUGGGAAUUCCUGGUGUAGCGGUGAAAUGCGCAGAUAGUCAAGGAAGAACACCCGUGGCUAAGGCGGCUCUCUAGU
rnacentral:rRNA from 1 species